UACAGGGGGGUGCAAACGUUGCUCGGAAUUAUUGGGCGUAAAGCGCGCGUAGGCGGCUACCUAAGUCGGAUGUGAAAGCCCCCUGGCUCAACUGGGGAAGUGCACCCGAAACUGGAUAGCUUGAGUGCGAAAGAGGGUCGCGGAAUUCCCGGUGUAGAGGUGAAAUUCGUAGAUAUCGGGAGGAACACCGGUGGCGAAGGCGGCGACCUGGGGUCGACACUGACGCCUGAGGCGCGAAAGCGUGGGGAGCAAACAGG
rnacentral:rRNA from 1 species